rnacentral:rRNA from 1 species
UACGUAGGGGGCUAGCGUUGUUCGGAAUUACUGGGCGUGAAGGGCGCGUAGGCGGUGUGUCAAGUCAGGCGUGAAAGCCCCGGGCUCAACCUGGGAACCGCGCUUGAGACUGGCACGCUAGAGUUCGGGAGAGGAUGGUGGAAUUCCCAGUGUAGAGGUGAAAUUCGUAGAUAUUGGGAAGAACACCGAUGGCGAAGGCAGCCAUCUGGACCGACACUGACGCUGAGGCGCGAAAGCGUGGGGAGCAAACAGG